UACAGAGGGGGCAAGCGUUGUUCGGAAUUACUGGGCGUAAAGGGCGCGUAGGCGGCCUGCUAAGUCGAACGUGAAAUCCCUGGGCUCAACCCAGGAACUGCGUCCGAUACUGGUUGGCUUGAGUAUGGAAGAGGGUCUCGGAAUUCCCGGUGUAGAGGUGAAAUGCGUAGAUAUCUGGAGGAACACCGGUGGCGAAGGCGGCAUCCUGGACCGACACUGACACUGAGGAGCGAAAGCCAGGGGAGCAAACGGG
rnacentral:rRNA from 1 species